rnacentral:rRNA from 1 species
UACACACCGCCCGUCACACCAUGGGAGCGGGUUCUGCCAGAAGUAGUUAGCCUAACCGCAAGGAGGGCGAUUACCACGGCAGAGUUCGUGACUGGGGUG